rnacentral:rRNA from 1 species
AGAGUUUGAUCAUGGCUCAGAUUGAACGCUGGCGGCAGGCCUAACACAUGCAAGUCGAGCGGAUGAGUGGAGCUUGCUCCAUGAUUCAGCGGCGGACGGGUGAGUAAUGCCUAGGAAUCUGCCUGGUAGUGGGGGACAACGUUUCGAAAGGAACGCUAAUACCGCAUACGUCCUACGGGAGAAAGCAGGGGACCUUCAGGCCUUGCGCUAUCAGAUGAGCCUAGGUCGGAUUAGCUAGUUGGUGAGGUAAAGGCUCACCAAGGCGACGAUCCGUAACUGGUCUGAGAGGAUGAUCAGUCACACUGGAACUGAGACACGGUCCAGACUCCUACGGGAGGCAGCAGUGGGGAAUAUUGGACAAUGGGCGAAAGCCUGAUCCAGCCAUGCCGCGUGUGUGAAGAAGGUCUUCGGAUUGUAAAGCACUUUAAGUUGGGAGGAAGGGCAGUAAGCUAAUACCUUGCUGUUUUGACGUUACCGACAGAAUAAGCACCGGCUAACUUCGUGCCAGCAGCCGCGGUAAUACGAAGGGUGCAAGCGUUAAUCGGAAUUACUGGGCGUAAAGCGCGCGUAGGUGGUUCAGCAAGUCGGAUGUGAAAGCCCCGGGCUCAACCUGGGAACUGCAUCCAAAACUACUGAGCUAGAGUACGGUAGAGGGUGGUGGAAUUUCCUGUGUAGCGGUGAAAUGCGUAGAUAUAGGAAGGAACACCAGUGGCGAAGGCGGCCACCUGGAAUGAUACUGACACUCAGGUGCGAAAGCGUGGGGAGCAAACAGGAUUAGAUACCCCGGUAGUCC